rnacentral:rRNA from 1 species
GCAAGUCGAGCGGUAACAUUUCAAAAGCUUGCUUUUGAAGAUGACGAGUGGCGGACGGGUGAGUAAUACUUAGGAAUAUGCCUUUGCGAGGGGGAUAACCAUUGGAAACGAUGGCUAAUACCGCAUAAUACCUACGGGUCAAAGGGGGCUUUUAGCUCUCGCGUGAAGAGUAGCCUAAGCGAGAUUAGCUAGUUGGUGAGGUAAAGGCUCACCAAGGCAACGAUCUCUAGCUGUUCUGAGAGGAAGAUC